rnacentral:rRNA from 1 species
GGUGAACGACCCGCAAGGGAGGCUUGCACAGGUGUUUGCAUGGCUGUCGUCAGCUCGUGUCGUGAGAUGUUCGGUUAAGUCCGCUAACGAGCGCAACCCUCGCUGUAUGUUACAUGUGUCAUACAGGACCGCCGGUAUCAAGCCGGAGGAAGGUGGGGAUGACGUCAAGUCCGCAUGGCCUUUAUGUCCGGGGCUACACACACGCUACAAUGGUCGGUACAAUGGGUUGCUAAGCCGCGAGGUGGAGCCAAUCCCCCAAAGCCGGCCUCAGUUCAGAUUGCAGGCUGCAACUCGCCUGCAUGAAGCUGGAGUUGCUAGUAAACGCGCGUCAGCUAUAGUGCGUUGAAUACGUUCUCGGGCCUU